rnacentral:rRNA from 1 species
AUUGAACGCUGGCGGCAUGCCUUACACAUGCAAGUCGAACGGCAGCACGGGAGCAAUCCUGGUGGCGAGUGGCGAACGGGUGAGUAAAGUAUCGGAACGUGCCCAGUCGUGGGGGAUAACGUAGCGAAAGUUACGCUAAUACCGCAUACGAUCUAUGGAUGAAAGCAGGGGAUCGCAAGACCUCGCGCGAUUGGAGCGGUCGAUAUCAGAUUAGGUAGUUGGUGGGGUAAAGGCUCACCAAGCCGACGAUCUGUAGCUGGUCUGAGAGGACGACCAGCCACACUGGGACGGAGACACGGCCCAGACUCCUACGGGAGGCAGCAGUGGGGAAUUUUGGACAAUGGGCGAAAGCCUGAUCCAGCCAUGCCGCGUGCAGGAUGAAGGCCUUCGGGUUGUAAACUGCUUUUGUACGGAACGAAAAGGUUUGGCCUAAUAAGCUGAGCUCAUGACGGUACCGUAAGAAUAAGCACCGGCUAACUACGUGCCAGCCGCCGCCGUAA